rnacentral:rRNA from 1 species
CGCUCUUUGAACUGUUAUGUUACGUGACCAUUAGAUUAUAUAAAGAGUCGGACCUGCCCAGUGACUAUUGUUAAACGGCCGCGGUACUCUGACCGUGCAAAGGUAGCAUAAUCAUUUGCCUUUUAAUUGGAGGCUUGUAUGAAUGGUUUGACGAGAACCAAGCUGUCUCUUUUUAAAUAUAUAAAAAUUAAUUUUUAGGUGAAGAGGCCUAUAUUUAACUAAGGGACAAGAAGACCCCGUUGAGCUUUAGUGAUUUAAUAAAGUAUAUAUUAUUUAGAUAAAUGUAUUCUAGAAGUUAUAUUGUUAUAUAGAUGUUAUUUAUUAAAAAUCUUUAGUUGGGGCGACUGAGGAGCAUAAGAAGCUUCCUUUAAUUAUACAAAUUUAUGGAAAUCAAGCUAAAUUAAAUAGAUCCAGUAUUUACUGAUUAAAGGAAAAAGUUACCACGGGGAUAACAGCGUAAUCUUUCUAGAGAGUUCUUAUCGAAGGAAGGGUUUGCGACCUCGAUGUUGGACUAAGAUAUCCUAGAGGUGUAGAAGCUUCUAAUGGUUAGUCUGUUCGACUAUUAAAAUCUU